rnacentral:rRNA from 1 species
GUUUUCAUCUGUAGCACUUUGACAAAUCCUGAUCUCGUCAGAGCUCAGAAACUAAGCAGUACGGGGCCUGGUUAGUACUUGGGUAGGAGAUUACUAGGAAUGCCUAGUAUGAAUAUG